rnacentral:lncRNA from 1 species
GUUUAUUAACUCUAGCCAAAAAUACCUGGUUAACCAAAUAAAGAGGUGAUGUGACAGAUAAGAUACCUCCUAAUAGAGGCGUGGUUAUGGGUGUAGAAAUUCAACACUUUACAAACUGCUCAGCGGCUGCGACAAACUUUUCUGACGAUGGGGAAAAAAUGUAACUAAAUGGCAUCCAGCUCCUUAAGUGUAGAUACUGACAAGCAGCCCUAAUAACAAUAACAAAACAAAAUGAUAAAGAAGCUCUAUGUCAGUUACUUAAAAUUGAAAUAAAGUUAUGUCCUGCUUUUGUCUGCAGAUAAAUACGGAAUAAGGAAGAUGGUGCUCCUGCCUUUCAUCAUCAUCAUUAUCUUACUGACUGCCAUCCUCUGUAUUGUUGGGGCACACUACCACCACUUCAGACAAACCAGAGUGGAGUUGGGGAGUGACCAGAACACAAACAGAGAAGCAUGGUUUCUCAAUGGAAAUUCAUUUUAUUUGUUUUGGACUCGCCACGGUGACUGCGACACUGCUGUGCAAUUCUGCGAAAAAAGAGGUGCCACUCUUGCGGUGGUAGAGGAAAAUAACAUGGUAAAAACACACACAUACACACACACACACACACAGACACAUAUUCUUAUUCUAUGAAACCCCCAACCUUCAAGCUGCCAGGAAGUAUAGUCUUUAUCUCU